rnacentral:rRNA from 1 species
CUAACACAUGCAAGUCGAACGGAAACAGGGAGGUGCAUGCACCCUGAUGAGAGUGCCGCAUGAGUUACACAAUGCGCUAUAUCACCCUAUCCGGUUGGGUAGGAUAGACCAAGUCAGAGUGGAUAAAUACUGAGGAAAAAGCACCAGGGGGUGAUCUUGUUGAAUAACUUUACACGGCGUAGGAAUAGCUGUGCUCUGGUGACUAAUUGGGCAAGGAACCGGUCAACAUAGGCAAUAUCAGUUAGGGUCUGAAAAGGUGAAUCCCCCACACGGAUCUGGAAAAAGGGACAAAAUUUAAGGGAGGGAACAGGGAAGAAUUAUGGGACAUGGGGGACAGGGUUAAUCAGUCAUGCCGCUUGAAGAUAAAUGCCCAUACGUUUUGUACACCGGUUAAUGGGAA